rnacentral:rRNA from 1 species
AACGAACGCUGGCGGCAUGCCUAACACAUGCAAGUCGAACGAGACCUUCGGGUCUAGUGGCGCACGGGUGCGUAACGCGUGGGAACCUGCCCUUAGGUUCGGAAUAACUCCCCGAAAGGGGUGCUAAUACCGGAUAAUGUCUUCGGACCAAAGAUUUAUCGCCUUUGGAUGGGCCCGCGUUGGAUUAGCUAGUUGGUAGGGUAAAAGCCUACCAAGGCGACGAUCCAUAGCUGGUCUGAGAGGAUGAUCAGCCACACUGGGGCUGAGACACGGCCCAGACGGCGACGCGGGGGGGGGGUGGGGGGUAGUGGGGGAUGGGGGAAGGGUUGAUAAAGCCGUGCGCCGGGGGUGAUGAAGGCGGUAGGGUUGUAAUGCGCUUUUGCCCGAGCUGAGAGUGACGGUACGGGGGGAAGAAGCUACGGAUAACUACGUG